UCCUACGGGAGGCAGCAGUAGGGAAUCUUCCACAAUGGACGCAAGUCUGAUGGAGCAACGCCGCGUGAGUGAAGAAGGUUUUCGGAUCGUAAAGCUCUGUUGUUGGUGAAGAAGGAUAGAGGUAGUAACUGGCCUUUAUUUGACGGUAAUCAACCAGAAAGUCACGGCUAACUACGCGCCAGCAGCCGCGGUAAUACAGA
rnacentral:rRNA from 1 species